rnacentral:sRNA from 1 species
UCAACGAAUCUUUGGAACGUUUGGCCAGC